UUCAACAAGGAAAGACCUGCAGACCCUACUCUGAGAACAGCUUAGAGCACCUGGCAAGGCCUUGGGAAUAGUAGUGAAAUGAAGCCAGUGAGUCAGGAAAAUGAGCUGAUAGCUUUGAACAUCUCCCCCACCCUGGGCCCCAAAGGACUGGCCCAGGUAGGCUCAGGCCCCACUCCAGGGAUGGUUGAGAAAUGGGGGCAGAAACAGGCCACUCCUGGAGGAAAUGAGAGAGAGAGGAAGGAAGGAAAGAGGAGAAGAGAAAAGGAAGAAAGAUGAGAUGGGAAACUCAUCUUCCAACCACAUUGAAAAGCCAUCCAGAACCAAAGUGGCAAAACACUAGUGACGGGGAGCCCAGUGAUGAGUCAUAGGAGACAUGGACAGACCAGAGGAGCCUAAGGAGACAAGACAUCUAAAUGCAACGUGGGAUGCUGGAACAGAAAAGGACAUUGGUGGGAACACUAGUAAAAUCCAAAUAAAAUCUGGAGUUUAGUUAAUAGUAAUGGAUCACUGUUAAUUUCUUUGUUCUGGGAAAUGUACCAUAGUUAGGUAUGUUAACAUGGUGGGAAGUUGGGAUAGGGCAUUUGGGAACUUGGUACUAUCUUGCAACAUUUCUGUAAAUCUAAAAUCCAAAAUUAAAAGUUCACAAAAAGGAAGGCAUUCAUUGUUCAGCUUCUUUCAUAAUUAAAUAAUUAAAAUAAGUAUAUAUCUUAAAAUAUAUAUCAAACUGGCAAAAUAAAAACAAUUUUGCACAAUGUUUGAUAUGGGUGGUACACAAGGGACAGGCAGGACAUGUGCACUGUGGAGGAGAGGGUCUGCAUUGUUGGAGCCCAGUUUGGCCAUAUCAUUAAAAGUAUUGUAGCUAUAGCUAAUCCCCUUUGACCCAUUUCCAUGCCUACAAAUUACCCUACAAAACCCUCCAGUGCUCAGAGAUAUGUACAGGAUGUUUGUACAAACACAAGAGUGAUGGACAGGACUUGGUUCCCAAUGUGGGCACCUCAGGACAGCCUCAGGCUGCACCAGCCCACCCCAGCAGAAGACUUGCAGAGGGGCUUAGCAACCCUUGUUCUAACAACUUCCCCACAUGAAUCCCAGAACCACUGAGUUAUGGUAUACUUGAAAAUUAUACAGGCAGUAAGGAAAUGAGUUAGGUAUGUACUGACAUGAAAGAUGUUCAAGGUCUAUGGUUAAGUGAAACAAGUGUGUGUGUAUGUGUUGU